GGGUUGAUAGCUCAGUAGUAGAGCAUCUGACUGCACCGGUUCAAAUCCCGUUGGGCCUU
rnacentral:tRNA from 1 species